GUCACUUCCGGGCGCAGGUGGCUAGGUCGGGGCCGGGCGCUGGUGGGUGCCGGGGUGGGGGAGGACACUCCAGGGGAAUUAGUGUCACAGACUUCUUACUUCUGCGCAGGCGCCGUCGUGUGGAACGACGUUCGCCAUUUUGGUUGCGGGCAAACGGUCUUUUUUCCGUACUCACUGAAGUGUGGGCUGGGGACGUCCUCCCUCCCCUCCCGACCCUCUGAGGCAGCGCUCCGGGCCACAGACCUGAGCUUCUCUCCGCCCAGUACUUUCCCGAUGAGCCGGGGAGAGGGUUAAGUUCCGCCUUGGAAUAAAACUGCAGACGUAUGGAAAUACGGAACCAGAUCUCUGCUGAAAAACCGGCUGGACAACAUUCAGCAGCUUGUCCUUUUUGCCCGGAAUAAAAGACUUUCAUUCCCUUCCCUUUUUAUGUAAGCCAACAAAAGAGGAAGCUGUUAUUUAACAAACGAGAAGUGAUUGUCCUACUUAAGACGAGAAGUCAGCAGGCAAACUAACAAAUGGUCUUCUACAAAAAUCAGUCCAGAAUUGUGUUGGUGUUUGGAGAAGAUGAUCAUUUUCAUACAUCUUUCCAAUCAACUUGUGCAUUUGAGCGAUUCUAUACAAUAGAGGUCAUAAGAGGUUUUUGUUUCCAUCGGUUCCUGAGCAAUUGGUCUUUUUUUAAUAACAUCUCCCCGUCCUUUAUUAUGACUCUGUUAGAAACCAUUCCACUGUAAAACUCAGACAAAGCUGCAGGAUUUUUAUUCCUGUCUCAGACGGUGAACCCUGGACUCUACCCUACAAACCCUGAGCCCUGCCGGGUUCUCUUUCUGCCCACGCUGAAUUAUUUAAAAUAGUUCCCAAACCGCAAAGCUCAGCAGUAACCGAAAGGAACAAGGACUGAAAACACCCGUCAUCUCAGAGAACUGUCUAGCCCUUUGACUGGAGGAAUUACACACGUUGAAAAAGAUAAGGACAAUAGCAAUUCAUCAUGGUUUAUCCUGCCUCUGCAAUGUUCUAGACAAAUUAACUUGAAGAACUAAAAUAGACCCUCAUUUGUCUCCUCACAAUUCAGUCAUUGCAAGAUAACAGAGACUGCAUUGCUGCUUUGUGGUUAUGCUGAAUAUUUUUGUUAUUGGCCAGUCACUGAAGUGAGAAAAAUCUAUAUGGCUUGUCAAAUUUAUUCCUUUUGUAUUUCGCCCCCUGCUGGUGUAGCUCGUGUGCAAAUUAAAAAAAAAAAGUAUGUCACUGUAAAACAUGUUUAUUGUCUGAGAAUGAAAGUAAAAAAAAAUGCGUGUAAAACUGAAAAUUAAUUUAUUUCAGACAAACAUAUGUUUGUUUUCACUUGAUAAAUCUACCAAAUAAGUACUGACUAAGAUCCGAAGGAAACGUUUGAAUGAUGAUUUUCAAAUAAUUUAAACCAAUCAAAAAUGUUUAAUAUAGUGAUUCUAAACAUUAAAAGGAAACCGUGCAGUUUGGGAAAGUAUCUUCCCGAUUUCACAAAUUAUAUGAUUACCAAAUGAUUAUCUUUGUUAGGUGAUGACGUUGAGUAAAGUCUGAAGAUAUUCUUGACUAUUACAGUUAAGGUGGAAGUGCAAGUAGAAGCUAACAGGUAGAAGCUGGGGACCCAUCGAAACCUCCUGCAAUGCAGAAGAAGCGAGUCUCUAUAGCAAAGAACUAUCCAGGAUGUCAGUCAUGCCAACUUUGAGAAAUCUUGCCCUAGGGCAUCCUUGGACUGUUGAUAUUGCCUCCACUAAUUCAAACCACUAACACUGCUAAUCCUAGGUCCCAGUCACUAAAAGUACUUGGACAGUUUAGGAAGUCUGAACAUGUGCUAAUAUUAAAUAUAGCCUUAGGAAUGAAUUGUUAAUUUUUCAGUACACUAAUAAAAUUAUGGAUUUGUACAAUGAUAUACAACCAUUUCUAAGUGUUUGAAA
rnacentral:lncRNA from 1 species